CGCGCCGGUGUCGAAGCCCGCACCGGAUUCCCGGUGCCGGGUGAGAGGGAACCCGGUGAGAAUCCGGGACUGUCCCGCAGCGGUAUGCAGGAACGACCGCCGUCAUCACGCACUGGGCCGCAGGCUUGGGAAGCGACGGCCAGUAGGUCGGUCGAGCACAACGACCGGUGCCCGCGAGUCCGAAGACCUGCCGACUGUGCCGGAUACGC
rnacentral:ncRNA from 2 species